UACGUAGGGUGCAAGCGUUGUCCGGAAUUACUGGGCGUAAAGAGCUCGUAGGUGGUUUGUCGCGUUGUUCGUGAAAACUCACAGCUCAACUGUGGGCGUGCGGGCGAUACGGGCAGACUUGAGUACUGCAGGGGAGACUGGAAUUCCUGGUGUAGCGGUGAAAUGCGCAGAUAUCAGGAGGAACACCGAUGGCGAAGGCAGGUCUCUGGGCAUUAACUGACGCUGAGGAGCGAAAGCAUGGGGAGCGAACAGG
rnacentral:rRNA from 1 species